ensembl:lncRNA
AGUUAAUGAUUUAAAAAAAAAACCAAAAUUAUCCUUUCUUCAAAAGAGUGCAGUUUGCCCCUGUGCAGUGGGCCAGUAAAAAGCCUGCAGGUUAGUUAAAUUCCACCUGAGCGGGGAAAACAGAAUUCAGACACCAUUCACAGGGGCAGCUUUGUGCUGAUUUUCUGCAAAGAUGUGGGUCUUACUUGGUGAGUCUUUUCUAGAGCAGUGUUCAUUCAUAUUACAGAAUAGUGCCUUCAAAAUCAUUGGCAAAAAAGUAAGCUAACAAAGUUUAUUUACUCCUGGCAAUUGAGGUAAUCUGGGUAAUUUAGGUAAAACAGUGGAAUGAAUUUCUAGAUGAAUUUCCUAGAUUGGUCUCUCUCCCUUUUCUCUUCGAAGAGUUCAGGAGGCAACGCUCUUCGCUUCCUUGGAGGUCUCCAGAGCAGUAUUUCUCCAGUGGUGUCCAAGGACCAUAAGAAACUGGUCCAUGAAAUACCUCCAGGCACACAAGCAUUCUACAAACUAGAGUUCACACCAGAUCAUGGGAAAUGGGAUCUAUUCAAGAAAGGAGCAGGAUAUGUUGGACGGAAGUGUGUGCAAUCGUCUUUAAGAAGGCAGAACAACCUGUAGUACACAAGAACUCACAAGCACGUACAAAACACCAAAAUGGAAAUGCUACAAUCUACAAUUUUGACUGCAAAAUGAAUUUGUAAACAUAGUUUGCAUUCAGUCUUUGAAAAACUGUAGAAAAAAAUAGAAAAGAAUGAUACAAAAAUCCCUGCAAACUAUUCUAUUUAUGUACAAAACAAUAUACAGACACCGGACAAUCCAGGUUGCGUGAUGCUGCCUGUGACAGUCUCCCUUUGUGCCGUGGCGCUUGCCACAGACCAUCAUUAAAAACAACUGCGAGAUUCUUGCAUUUUGGAAAUCAGACUAAAAGGACUGGAUAAUCCAUUAUCAAUCAAUAAUGGGUCUGCAGCAGAACAUAGUUACAAAUGAAAGGGGAAGUACAUCAAAAAGUUGGAUAAUGUGAGAAAUCUCAGGAGUCUUCCAGCCUCCCCAAGUCCUUCCUUAGCUUAUGGGUUAGUUCCCUCUCAGACUACAGAGACCUGCUCAGUGGCUCAGUAAAAUGUUCUAAGUUUUUUUAAUGUUUGAAGCCUGGGUUUUCCAUAAGACUCAUAGAUUUGAAUGCACACCUCCAUAUCUGCUCAGAUUUGUAUGGCCUGGUAGCAGGAAGUCACCAGGUCUCCACUGAGGGGGAAGAUGCCCCUGGGAUGGUGGGAAAACCUGAGGGAUAGGUCUCCAGCACCUUUUGCCAGUGAACCCAUUCGCACAAGAAGUAAAGGAAUUCACAGCACUUGGCCUUUAGCAGCAAUUUGGCUCAUUCAUAGCAGCAGAUUUCAUUUUCAUAUCCAACAUGAUCAGGUGGAAAAAAUUAAGGCGGGACCCAUUGCACAGUCCAACCCAGGCAUACUUGCUAGGGACGUUCAUGAAGUCCUGCCUUAGGUGGGCAGAACCAGAGCGUCUGCUUGUGCUUUGUCCGGGGAUUAUGGAUAGACAGUGUCUAGUGUUCGCAGGGGAAGAAAGAUCCAUGACUUUGGAAGGAAUAUAUAUUUAACACAUUGUUUCAGGUAAAUUGUGAGCAAGGAUAUAUAACACUUACUUAAAAAAUAACAUGGUGACAUUGAUCAACUUGUUUACAGCUAUAUUUUUGUCUCUGACACUUCAGUAUUGCAAUUUUUUUUUUGCAAUGCUUGAAGUUAUGCUCUGUAUAUAGUUAUUCAGACAAUAGAAAUUGGAUAAAUAUUUUUCCCUUGAAAUCAUCAAUAUGAUUGGAGAAAAGAAAAUCACUCUUCCUCCACAGGGUGCUUCCUGCUGGGAGCAGGAGUUUCCACACAACCUUGUAUGUUGAAGCAAACAGAGUUUUACCAGAGGCGAAUGGCCCCAAGGACUCUGUCUAUUAUAAUAGCUAACAUGAAAAAUACCCUAAUCAUGGCGUUAGAAGUCACAGUAAUAAAAUCAAGGAAAGUCUUCUGGCUCA